GUUACUCCUGAUUUACACCAACAUAAACAAGACCAGAAUCAAAGCCAUGCGGGAGCCCUAAGGGUAUGCUUAGAAUGGGAAGAAAAGGAAAGAACUCCACGCUAGACAAACUCACCAGCCCAGGGGGAUUCCUGGUUUGAACUGCUUGCUGUAUGACAAUCACCAGUCCUCUGGCAAAACUGCAGCAUGGAUGGCUUCAAAGAACAGUCAGUGCCAUGUGGAGAGAAGGUGCUGAGGAGCUGUGUAGAACAACAAAUUCAAAUGGAAAAUGAUUGCAAGGAGGCUUAAAGCCCACAGAGACCUAGCUGCUUCCAAAAGACUGAAAAAAAACUUUAAUAGGAAGAACCAGAGAACUGAAUGAGGCACUACUGGAACAGCUCAAUGCUUGACAGGAAAGCAAAAUGGAUCCAUACUGUGGAGUCAAUAAGAAGCACAGAAGAGCACCUCUGGGGAAAGAUUCAGAGAAUAAGAUGAUUAGAACCAUACCUUGGGGAGUUAAAGGGAGAAAUCCCCAAAUGCCUGGAGAACAAGCUGUUCCCGUCGUGAAGUACCUUAACAUCAAAGUGUGGAUGGGAAGCUCCACAGAGCUUUAGCAGAAUCUUAGAGAGACAGAAGUAGUGCUUUCUGAUAAACAAAUCACAAAACCAAAUAUAUCUACAACAGAAGUUACUGAAGUCCAACCAGUAUAUGACAGCAGACUCUUGAGAAGAACCAGAAGGGAAACCAGCUACAUAUUUUUGGUACAAAUCUACAGGAAAUGUAAGAACUAGCAACAGCUUGAUUACAGCAGUGCUAAGAAGAAAGAUCCAUCUACAGUGCAAGAUCCUCUGAAGGAGCAGCUCACUAAAAAUGCUGCAGUAACUUACUAGCAAUGCUGGAAUAAAAUUAAAAGAACAUUGACAGCCCCAGAGACUGUUUAAAUGGUGUCAGAUGGAAAUCUCUUGUUAAAGAUAAAUACUUGCCACACUGAGUUUAAUAAGUCUAACUCAGUAGAGUUAUCAAUGACAUCAAGAAACAGCUCAGUUCCUUACAUAAUAUAUUAUCAAGGCAACAACAAUAAGCUUAGGAAACUGCAG
ensembl:lncRNA